AGCGAACGCUGGCGGCAGGCUUAACACAUGCAAGUCGAGCGGGCGUAGCAAUACGUCAGCGGCAGACGGGUGAGUAACGCGUGGGAACGUACCUUUUGGUUCGGAACAACACAGGGAAACUUGUGCUAAUACCGGAUAAGCCCUUACGGGGAAAGAUUUAUCGCCGAAAGAUCGGCCCGCGUCUGAUUAGCUAGUUGGUGAGGUAACGGCUCACCAAGGCGACGAUCAGUAGCUGGUCUGAGAGGAUGAUCAGCCACAUUGGGACUGAGACACGGCCCAAACUCCUACGGGAGGCAGCAGUGGGGAAUAUUGGACAAUGGGGGGCAACCCUGAUCCAGCCAUGCCGCGUGAGUGAUGAAGGCCCUAGGGUUGUAAAGCUCUUUUGUGCGGGAAGAUAAUGACGGUACCGCAAGAAUAAGCCCCGGCUAACUUCGUGCCAGCAGCCGCGGUAAU
rnacentral:rRNA from 1 species